AAUGGACUGGGGAGGAACAGCACUGAACUGGGAGCAGCUGCUAGCAGAAGCCCUGGGCCAGAAAGUCUUUUACUUGCUGCCUUUGUGACCGAAGAAGCAGCUGCCUCUUCUAGCUUCUGCUGAUUUCAAGAGAGACGAGCUCACUGAACAACCCAGUGGGCUACUUCAGGAGAUGUGCGCUCACUGAACCCAGUGGGCUACUCUGGAACUCGUUAGCACACAUUUUCUUCUGGGAUAAUGCCCACAAAGAGGCUUGUGCCCUGAUCCCUGGAAUCUGGAGAUCCCUGUGACAAAGGAAUAUCAAGCUUGCCAAUGGAAUUACGCUUGUCAGACAACUGACCUUGAGAGCAAAAGAUUAUCCUGAAUUAUCCGGAUGAGUCCAGUAGAAUCCAAAGGCACUUGAAAAAUGAAAGAGUGACAGGGAAGAAGCCAGAGUUGGCCAGGUGACUUAAACCCUCAGUGAGACAGAAGGACCCAUGGACCAAAGGCUGAGCAUCCUCUGGAUGCCGGAAAAGAUGCAGCAUUCUUCUCCAGUGCUCCCAGAAGAUGACAGCUCUGCUGGACCUUGAGCCUACUAGUUCAGUGAGGGCCGAGUCAGAUUUUUUUACUGAAUGGUGAGAUGUGAAAUUACACAGCAUUAGGUGAUGACAUUUUCAGCAAUGGGAAACUAAGUCAUAGCUUAAACCAACCGCCACUGCUAAUGGCCAAGUUAAGACUUCCGGUCAGCAAUGAUAUACAGUGCUAGGGGUACUUUUUAUCUGAUUUUCCAGCAGGGAUCACUCACCAUCUAGCCCUAGG